CAUCUCCGGGGGUAGAGCACUGUUUCGGCAAGGGGGUCAUCCCGACUUACCAACCCGAUGCAAACUGCGAAUACCGGAGAAUGUUAUUACGGGAGACACACGGCGGGUGCUAACGUCCGUCGUGAAGAGGGAAACAACCCAGACCGCCAGCUAAGGUCCCAAAGUCAUGGUUAAGUGGGAAACGAUGUGGGAAGGCCCAGACAGCCAGGAUGUUGGCUUAGAAGCAGCCAUCAUUUAAAGAAAGCGUAAUAGCUCACUGGUCGAGUCGGCCUGCGCGGAAGAUGUAACGGGGCUAAACCAUGCACCGAAGCUGCGGCAGCGACGCUUAUGCGUUGUUGGGUAGGGGAGCGUUCUGUAAGCCUGUGAAGGUGUGCUGUGAGGUAUGCUGGAGGUAUCAGAAGUGCGAAUGCUGACAUAAGUAACGAUAAAGCGGGUGAAAAGCCCGCUCGCCGGAAGACCAAGGGUUCCUGUCCAACGUUAAUCGGGGCAGGGUGAGUCGACCCCUAAGGCGAGGCCGAAAGGCGUAGUCGAUGGGAAACAGGUUAAUAUUCCUGUACUUGGUGUUACUGCGAAGGGGGGACGGAGAAGGCUAUGUUGGCCGGGCGACGGUUGUCCCGGUUUAAGCGUGUAGGCUGGUUUUCCAGGCAAAUCCGGAAAAUCAAGGCCGAGGCGUGAUGACGAGGCACUACGGUGCUGAAGCAACAAAUGCCCUGCUUCCAGGAAAAGCCUCUAAGCAUCAGGUAACAUCAAAUCGUACCCCAAACCGACACAGGUGGUCAGGUAGAGAAUACCAAGGCGCUUGAGAGAACUCGGGUGAAGGAACUAGGCAAAAUGGUGCCGUAACUUCGGGAGAAGGCACGCUGAUACGUAGGUGAAGCGACUUGCUCGUGGAGCUGAAAUCAGUCGAAGAUACCAGCUGGCUGCAACUGUUUAUUAAAAACACAGCACUGUGCAAACACGAAAGUGGACGUAUACGGUGUGACGCCUGCCCGGUGCCGGAAGGUUAAUUGAUGGGGUUAGCGCAAGCGAAGCUCUUGAUCGAAGCCCCGGUAAACGGCGGCCGUAACUAUAACGGUCCUAAGGUAGCGAAAUUCCUUGUCGGGUAAGUUCCGACCUGCACGAAUGGCGUAAUGAUGGCCAGGCUGUCUCCACCCGAGACUCAGUGAAAUUGAACUCGCUGUGAAGAUGCAGUGUACCCGCGGCAAGACGGAAAG
rnacentral:rRNA from 1 species